rnacentral:sRNA from 1 species
UCCGUAGGUGAACCUGCGGAAGGAUCAUUACCGAGUCCAUGCCCUCACGGGUAGAUCUCCCACCCUUUGUAUACCUUACCUUUGUUGCUUUGGCGGGCCGCCUAGCUACUGGCUUCGGCUGGUAAGUGCCCGCCGGAGAACCCCAAACCCAACCCAUUUAUAGUGUCGUCUGAGUAAAAUUUUAAUAUUUAAAACUUUCAACAACGGAUCUCUUGGCUCUGGCAUCGAUGAAGAACGCAGCGAAAUGCGAUAAGUAAUGUGAAUUGCAGAAUUCAGUGAAUCGUCGAAUCUUUGAACGCACAUUGCGCCCCUUGGUAUUCCGAAGGGCAUGCCUAUUCGAGCGUCAUUAUCACCCCUCAAGCUCCGGCUUGGUGUUGAGGCCUGCUGUAAAGGCACCCUCUAAAAUCAGUGGCAGUGCUGUCAGGCUCUAAGCGUAGUAAUUUCUCUCGCUACAGAGUCCCGGUGGACACUCGCCAGAACCCCCCCAUUUUUUAAUGAUUGACCUCGGAUUAGGUAGGGAUACCCGCUGAACUUAAGCAUAUCAAUAAGCGGAGGAAAAGAAACCAACAGGGAUUGCCUCAGUAACGGCGAGUGAAGCGGCAAAAGCUCAAAUUUGAAAUCUGGCUCUUUCAGGGUCCGAGUUGUAAUUUGUAGAAGAUGUUUCGGGUGUGGCUCCGGUUUAAGUUCUUUGGAAUAUUACAUCAUAGAGGGUGAGAAUCCCGUAUGUGACCGGCAGCCUCCGCCUAUGUGAAACUCUUUCGACGAGUCGAGUUGUUUGGGAAUGCAGCUCAAAAUGGGAGGUAUAUUUCUUCUAAAGCUAAAUAUUGGCCAGAGACCGAUAGCGCACAAGUAGAGUGAUCGAAAGAUGAAAAGCACUUUGGAAAGAGAGUUAAACAGUACGUGAAAUUGUUGAAAGGGAAACGCUUGAAGU